GACUACUAGGGUAUCUAAGCCUGUUUGCUCCCCACGCUUUCGCUUCUCAGCGUCAGGAAAGGUCCAGAGAACCGCCUUCGCCACUGGUGUUCCUCCCGAUAUCUGCGCAUUCCACCGCUCCACCGGGAAUUCCAUUCUCCCCUACCUUCCUCUAGUCAGCCCGUAUCGAAAGCAGGCUCAGGGUUGAGCCCUGAAUUUGCACUUACGACGUGACUAACCGCCUACAAGCUCUUUACGCCCAAUAAAUCCGGACAACGCUCGCACCCUACGUAUCACCGCGGCUGCUGGCACGUAGUUAGCCGGUGCUUCUUUUGCAGGUACCGUCACUUGCGCUUCGUCCCUGCUGAAAGCGGUUUACAACCCGAAGGCCGUCAUCCCGCACGCGGCGUUGCUGCAUCAGGCUUUCGCCCAUUGUGCAAUAUUCCCCACUGCAGCCCCCCGUAGG
rnacentral:rRNA from 1 species